AUAAAUCACAGCUCUGGGGGAGAAAAUGCUUAGCCUAAAUAUAUAAUCUGGUCUCAUUUGGAACAGAAAAUCCAGAAAUCCCUUAGAAUUAAAGGUCAAAGUAAGGACUUUAAGUGCAAAGACACAACCUUUUUAGAGAGAGAGAGAGAGAGAGAGAGAGAGAGAGAGAGAGAGAUGUCUGGGAAGGUUGUUGUGAUGAGGAUGGGUUUGGGAUUUGUGGCACUUUGCAUAGCAGGUUACAUAGUGGGUCCCCCUCUCUACUGGCAUUUCAUGGAAGCCUUCGCUGCUUCUUCUUCUUCUUCUUGUGUCCCUUGCCUCUGUGAUUGUUCUUCCCUUCCUAUUCUUUCUAUUCCCCAAGGGCUGAGCAAUGCUUCAUUUGGAGGUUGGAUUCUAUAUUUUAUUGUUAUCUUGUUUCCCAUAUUAUAUCAUACAAAUGUGUAUCAACUUUUAGGAUCAUAAACAUCACAUGCCUUCUGUCUAUGAAAUACAAAAGAUAUUACCAAAACAUAAAGUCUUUCCUUCUAGUGUACCUUUUUGUUUUAUGUCAACAACCCAAUACUUCAUGUCACCAUGGUAAACAAUUUUUAUUUAGCUGGUGUUGCAAAAUUGUUGUUCCAAACUUCCAUAUGUCUUCAAGAUAUUUUACGGAAUUUGCUUGGACUAGGUGUUGCUUUAUGGUUAAGGUAUGUUGUAGCACACUUUGAAGAUGAAUAAGAAAUUUUAGUCUUGUGGUGUAUUGGAUAAACAUCAGAUUAGAAUUUACCCACCUUGUGGGAAAAAGGUUUUGUGUUUGCCGACUUGCAUCGUUGUCAACUUCCUUCACUUGCUGUUAUCUUUUCUUGAUUGGAAUUGCUUUUCAGAUUGUGCAAAGCCUGAUCCAGAGGUGAGUGGCGACACUGAAAAUAAUUUUGCAGAUCUGUUAUCAGAAGAACUAAAGCUACGGGAAAAUGAAGCAACGGAAAACCAGCAUCGUGCUGACACGGCUCUGCUUGAGGCAAAGAAGAUGGCAUCUCAAUAUCAAAAAGAGGCAGAUAAGUGUAAUUCGGGGAUGGAAACAUGUGAGGAGGCAAGGGAGAAAGCUGAGUCGGCAUUAGUGGCGCAGAAGAAGCUAACGGCAUUGUGGGAACUUAGAGCUCGUCAGAAAGGAUGGAAAGAAGGGGUCACCAAAUCAAAUACUCAGUCUCAUGGGAAUGUUCAGAGUGCUUAGAAACAUAGCAUGAUCUUCAUGGAGUGGUUUUCGGAAUUUCAAAUGCUGGUAAUAGCAUAUCAUCAUAGGUACCAUAUGUGUUCAUAAAAGGACAAGUGUAAAAAACAAAUGUUGUUGUAUUUCUUACAUCCAGUUUUGGAUAAUCAUUCCACAUGUACGAGUGUUGAAAGCUAUAAAUUAAAUCAGUUGAUGUUGUGAUUAUAUUUUACAUAAGAGAACCUUUUUCAACUGGCUUGUUUUUUAAGGUUCAGGCUUGAACCUGGGUCCAAUUUGUUGCUUAUUAGUUUUACUUAUUUAGGGUCAUUUGGAAAAUCUUAGGAGUUCAUUUGGGGAUCUUAUUUACCAUAUAUAUGUAGUUAUGUACUAAGGUGGUAUAUGGAAGAACUUGAAAAAAAUAGCUAGAUGGUAAGUUACAUUAACCUGUAAGGUCUUUUUAAUAAUCUG
rnacentral:lncRNA from 1 species